rnacentral:rRNA from 1 species
CAUGUCCUUUAGGAUUGAAUUUAAGGUCUAGCCUGCCCACUGAGUUAUUAAAUGGCCGCAGUAUUUUAACUGUGCAAAGGUAGCAUAAUCAUUAGUCUUUUAAUUGAAGGCUUGUAUGAAUGGUUGGACAAAAUAUAUAUUGUUUCAUAUAAAUUAAUAGAAUUUUAUUUUUUAGUUAAAAAGCUGAAAUUUAAUUAAAAGACGAGAAGACCCUAUAGAUCUUUAUAGUUGUUGAAUUUAAUUUAUGAAGAAUGUUUUAUUUUUAAUUUAUUUAACUAUUUUAUUGGGGUGAUAGUAAGAUUUAUUUAACUCUUGUAUAAUUUAAUACAUAAAUUAAUGAUUAGUUGAUCCAGUAUUAUUGAUUAGUAAAAUAAGUUACCUUAGGGAUAACAGCGUAAUUUUUUUGGAGAGUUCAUAUCGAUAAAAAAGAUUGCGACCUCGAUGUUGGAUUAAGAGAUAAGUUUGGGCGCAGCCGUUCAAAUUUAAAGUCUGUUCGACUUUUUGAUUCUUACAUGAUC